GAUGAACGCUGGCGGCGUGCCUAAUACAUGCAAGUCGAGCGAACAGACGAGGAGCUUGCUCCUCUGACGUUAGCGGCGGACGGGUGAGUAACACGUGGAUAACCUACCUAUAAGACUGGGAUAACUUCGGGAAACCGGAGCUAAUACCGGAUAAUAUAUUGAACCGCAUGGUUCAAUAGUGAAAGACGGUUUUGCUGUCACUUAUAGAUGGAUCCGCGCCGCAUUAGCUAGGUGGUAAGGUAACGGCUUACCAAGGCAACGAUGCGUAGCCGACCUGAGAGGGUGGUCGACCCCACUGGAACUGAGACACGGUCCAGACUCCUACGGGAGGCAGCAGUAGGGAAUCUUCCGCAAUGGGCGAAAGCCUGACGGAGCAACGCCGCGUGAGUGAUGAAGGUCUUCGGAUCGUAAAACUCUGUUAUUAGGGAAGAACAAAUGUGUAAGUAACUAUGCACGUCUUGACGGUACCUAAUCAGAAAGCCACGGCUAACUACGUG
rnacentral:rRNA from 1 species